UUGCAAGUAUAGAGUCCGUCAGCGAAAGAAGAGUGAAAAAUAAAACGGCAACGGCGCAUGGUAAAUAUGGAUGUUUCAUCACAAUGUUCCCCAUCUCCACAUCCUUGGCCUGCAGCUCCUGUCGAGAUAGGAAUUCCACAAUGCCAGCCCCAAUGGAGUCACCCAAGACGUUGGUUGUGGUACGCAGCCGAUCACUACAAUCCAGGAAUAACGAACCAAUCAACUGCAAUGAUGAGGGUGAUGUCAUCAGUGGGAAGUCCAACAGAGGUCAACACAAUCACCAUGGUGACCAGUCCAGCCUGUGGUAUCCCAGCAGCUCCAAUACUUGCUGCAGUGGCUGUGAUGCUGUUUUAUAGCACAAAAUGAUAUAUUUUAAACUCUUAUCUUGAUAAAUCAUGUAAUGUAAUUGUAAUCAUAUCAACAUAUUUUGAUUCUGUAAACAUAAACUUUAGCUUAUUAACCUUAGAUACUAAUUCUUACCUGAUUGUAAUGAUCUGACCUAAGUUCAUGUCCAUGUUGUUAACUUGAGCUAUGAAGAUAGCUGCCAGAGCCUCGUAAAGUGCUGUUCCAUCCAUGUUAAUGGUUGCGCCGACCGGCAACACAAACCGCGUGAUGCGCUUAUCCACCUUGUUGUUUACCUCCAGACACUUGAAGGUGAUGGGAAGGGUUGCUGAGCUGAGAUAGAGACGGAGAGAGAAACAGAUGGUGUUUGAGUGGUUUUUGUUUUAGAUUUUUUGUAUUAGAUCUAUUCAUCAUAUUCUCCAGGGGUAAACUUUAGUAACACUACUAACGAGGAUGGUGAUGUCUUAUAGGCACAAUCUGAUCAAGAACAAUCCUGGCCCUACUAUAAUAGGUUUUGAUUUGACAUGAGUCAGGGCCAAGUCAGGCGAGGCUACAGUGUGGCGUAGUCCGAGCAGGACAGGGAGGAGAUUAAUGUAAGGGGACCAACCUGGAGGAGGUUCCCAGGGCUGUGAUGAGGGCCUCCACCAGCCCCAUGAUGAAGAUGAAGGGGUUCAGCCGUGUGAUGGCGAAGUACAGGCCGGGGAGGAUGAUGAAAGCGUGGAUGGACAGGCCUAUGAUCACCGUGAUGGUGUACAUGGCCAGCUGACCACCCAUCUCAGUGAUGUCAUCCAUCUCCACGAUCUUCCCCGAUAUGAGGAACAUGAUGCCGAUUGGUGCAUACCUGUAGAGCAGAGGACGGAGAAGAGGUUAUGCUUGGGAAGGGUAUGGUCACAUAGUUAAAAGGGACUUCUUUUUCUGUGUAAUACUAUAGGCCUGAAAAAGUCAAAUGUUUAGUCUCUCACGGACAGACAUUUGAGAAAUCAUCAGUGCAUUCUGAGAGUGCAGAGCGCGGGCUAUGAAAUUACCUUUAUUCAUAAACAAAACUUGGUUUAAAUCUGUCAAAUAUCUGACUGGGAAUAUUUUGGAUUUAUUUGAGUGAACAUGUCACUGGUCUUGGUUACAAAGCCUUGUAAUUCAUCUGUGGAAUCAUUUAGCAUCAGGAAGCUACAUGCCCCGAGAUGGUUCUAUGUUGGCCAAUUAUGAGAUUGUGGUCCUGCAAUUAUCUCAGUAACCCUAAAGACCUAUAUCAGAUCAUGCAUGUUUAUAGUUACCAGAUAAUUCAUAGCAAUACCUCAGGCAAGAGGCUAAAUAAAGCCAUAUGAUUGAAUUGAGAGGGAGAGAUACACAUAGUAACUCCCAACUCUACAGGCACUCUAUAGGUAGACUUAGCAUUUCAAAGCAUAGAUGUGUAGAUUUCUCUGUGCCUGAUCUAAUCAUGAACCACAUGCAAUGCAGGGGGUUUGCAUAAACACACACACACACCUAAUGAAUGAUUAUUGGACCAUCAUCAUA